ACGAACGCUGGCGGCGUGCUUAACACAUGCAAGUCGAACGGAAAGGCCCUGCUUUUGUGGGGUUCUCGAGUUGCGAACGGGUUAGUAACACGUGAGUAACCUUCCCUUGACUUUUGGAUAACUUCAGGAAACUGGGGCUAAUACCGUAUAGGAUCUCCUGCUUCAUGGUGGGGGUUGGAACGUUUCGGCGGUUGGGGAUGGACUCGCGGCGUAUCAGCUUGUUGGUGGGGUAGUGGCUUACCAAGGCUUUGACGGGUAGCCGGCCUGAGAGGGUGACCGGCCACAUUGGGACUGAGAUACGGCCCAGACUCCUACGGGAGGCAGCAGUGGGGAAUAUUGCACAAUGGGCGGAAGCCUGAUGCAGCAACGCCGCGUGCGGGAUGACGGCCUUCGGGUUGUAAACCGCUUUCGCCUGUGACGAAGCGUGAGUGACGGUAAUGGGUAAAGAAGCACCGGCUAACUACGUG
rnacentral:rRNA from 1 species